GCUGAUGUCUGGCAACAACAACCUUGCCAAGGUUGGGGUCGAGGGUUCGAAUCCCUUCGCCCGCUCCA
rnacentral:tRNA from 1 species